rnacentral:rRNA from 1 species
AACGAACGUUAGCGGCGCGCCUAACACAUGCAAGUCGCACGAGAAAGGGCUUCGGCCCCGGUACAGUGGCGCACGGGUGAGUAACACGUAGAUAAUCUUCCCUCGAGUGGUGGAUAACUCUCCGAAAGGAGAGCUAAUACAGCAUGAGACCACGGCUUCGUUGAAGCUGCGGCACAAGCAGGCCUCUACACGUAAGCUUGCGCUUGAGGAUGAGUCUGCGGCCGAUCAGCUAGUUGGUAGGGUAAUGGCCUACCAAGGCUAAGACGGGUAGCUGGUCUGCGAGGAUGAACAACCAUACUGGAACUGAGUCACGGUCCAGGCUCCUACGGGAGGCAGCAGUGGGGAAUCUUGCGCAAUGGGGGAAAGCCUGGCGCAGCGACGCCGCGUGAGCGAUGAAGGCCUUCGGGUUGUAAAGCUCUGUAGGGAGGAAAGAAUAAGGUUUGGCUAAUAUCCAAGCUGAUGACGGUACCUCCUUAGCAAGCACCGGCUAACCCUGUGCCAGCAGCCGCCGUAA